CGUUUUCGCGUUCUAUGGUACCGUGUAUUUGAACGUGAACUCUCACGGUUAGCCGUGCGAUCUUCACGUUCAAUUGCCCCGCAUACAUCAUGUCGCGUGAGUGGUCUUUCGGUAGCGCAUGUUGGCAGGCCCAGUUGUGUAUUCACUGGACUGCACGCGUCCGCUCCUCUCAGUGUUUUGUUCCUCGUUCAGUGUGGAAUGCGUUGGUUCCUGUGUUGCAUACCUCAUAAUGAUCGGUAUUGUCAGUCCCGGAUGCUUGUUUCGUCAGUCGCCCUCAGCGGCAUGCCGGUGAACCACUUAGUAGCGCUUGUUUUCCACGCGGCGCCCUGCUUGCGGGGUAGCGAUGGGCCAUGAGCGCAUACUUGAUCUCUUGGAUGCGGAAUGCUAAAACAGGCACGGGGCGUAAAAGCCUCAGAUCAUGUGCCUAUACAGUUCCUUGAUGUAAGACGCUCGUGCCACGCUGCAGACCUUUGUUCGAAGCGAUGCACGGGGCCGACGUCGUCAACGGAUGCUACCUGGUUGAUCCUGCCAGUAGUCAUAUGCUUGUCUCAAAGAUUAAGCCAUGCAUGUGUAAGUAUGAACUAAUUCAGACUGUGAAACUGCGAAUGGCUCAUUAAAUCAGUUAUAGUUUGU
rnacentral:misc_RNA from 1 species